rnacentral:misc_RNA from 1 species
GGAGUUAUAUUGAUGAUCUGGAAAGUACCGUGAGUCCCAAACUGUUCCACACACCAUAUGGUUCCUUCCUAAGCUCAUUGUCCUUCGAUUAAAGGAAUCACCUUGGGACAGAUCCCUGGUAUGUCUUCUCCAAGAAAUUGUCCCUCUUGUAUGCCCCUCAUAAUCUUCCUCGUAACAAUUGGAUGAGCUGCAACCCCUUCCUUCAAUCCAGCAAUUUCCCAUUCCAAUAUCAUCAGCACUGGGACGGCAAGUGCCAGAUGAGAACCGUACUCAUGCUUGGCAACUUGUCAAGACCAAGGGGCUUUUGCAAACUUGACAUUGCUGAAUUGAAGAGAAAAGCUUGAAGGG